rnacentral:rRNA from 1 species
CCCCUAAACUCUGUUUCUAUAUGUAACUUCUGAGUAAAACCAUAAAUAAAUCAAAACUUUCAACAACGGAUCUCUUGGUUCUGGCAUCGAUGAAGAACGCAGCAAAAUGCGAUAAGUAAUGUGAAUUGCAGAAUUCAGUGAAUCAUCGAAUCUUUGAACGCACAUUGCGCCCGCCAGUAUUCUGGCGGGCAUGCCUGUUCGAGCGUCAUUUCAACCCUCAAGCACAGCUUGGUGUUGGGACUCGCGUUAAUUCGCGUUCCUCAAAUUGAUUGGCGGUCACGUCGAGCUUCCAUAGCGUAGUAGUAAAACCCUCGUUACUGGUAAUCGUCGCGGCCACGCCGUUAAACCCCAACUUCUGAAUGUUGACCUCGG